GUUCACUCCAGCAUCACAUACGUUAAAAUCGGAUGAUGCAAUGAAGAUUAGCAUGGCCCCUGCACAAGGAUAACACACAUAUUCCGAAAAGUACUCUCUCCUCUC
ensembl:snRNA U6 U6 spliceosomal RNA